rnacentral:other from 19 species
CUCGCAGCCCUUGCCCCGCUAUCGAGGGGACUGAAAC